AACGCACAUUGCGCCCUCUGGUAUUCCGGGGGGCAUGCCUGUUCGAGCGUCAUUACACCACUCAAGCCUAGCUUGGUAUUGGGGGCUUGCGGCGAAAGCUGCACCUCUUGAAAUCUUCCGGCUGGUACUAUCUAAACCUUUGCGUUGUGGAAACAUUUCUCGCUACGGUUAAGGUGGUGCUCUUCGCCGUUAAAACUUUUUACCAAGGUUGACCUCGGAUCAGGUAGGGAUACCCGCUGAACUUAA
rnacentral:misc_RNA from 1 species